rnacentral:rRNA from 1 species
CACGGACCAAGAAGUCUAACAUGUGCGCAAGUCAUUGGGUUAAGAAUAAACCUAAAGGCGCAAUGAAAGUGAAAGGUGCAAUUGUGUGAUCUGAGGGAAGAUGGUAUGGGUAACCCUAAUAAAUAUACAUGUGUGAUAAGAAAAAAAGGGGACCCUGCCCGCAUUCCCGGGGCGUCUCGUUCUCAUUGCGAGUCGAGGCGCACCUAGAGCGUACAUGUUGGGACCCGAAAGAUGGUGAACUAUGCCUGGCCAGGAUGAAGUCAGGGGAAACCCUGAUGGAGGUCCGUAGCGAUUCUGACGUGCAAAUCGAUCGUCUGAGCUGGGUAUAGGGGCGAAAGACCAAUCGAACCAUCUAGUAGCUGGUUCCCUCCGAAGUUUCCCUCAGGAUAGCUGUCUCUCGGAGGAAAAAUGAAAUGAGUCUCAUACGGUAAAGAGAAUGAUUAGAGGCCUUGGGGCCGAAAUGACUUCAACCUAUUCUCAAACUUGAAAUGGGUGAGAUCUCCGGCUUGCUUGGUUUUUGAAGCCGGAGACGGAUUGUGAGAGGCCAGUGGGCCACUUUUGGUAAG